UCUCAGGCUCUCUCUUCUAGCCUGAGCCAUGAGCGUACUGUUCAGGGUAGCGGAGGGAGACGUUGACCCUCCCAGCAGGACCCAGGUCUGCAGAUUCGACCACCGGCCCAGGGCGGAUGGAACUGCAUGGUGUGGGGUGCCAAUGGGCGGAUGGAGGCAUUCCCAGCUGAAAGGACCCGGCACAAGAACGCCCAGGCCUCACCUCGGUGAAGAAAGGCAACGGAAGCUCUCAGAGCAGAAAGCAGAGACCGCCAGCCUGGAGAGGCGCUGGGGCAGCGGGCGGGAUGCCUGGCAUGCUCCAACGCUCGGCUUGGACUAAGCUUUACACUGGACUGGGCAUUUCGUUGUAUCUUUCUCUCAGUGGCCGGUGGAUGGUGCAGGUGAAGAAGUCAGGUUAGUCACCCUGAACUGGUUAGUUUCCAGGAUGACCACAAUAAAAAAGAUCAAAUUGGCAA